rnacentral:rRNA from 1 species
UACGGAUUCCCUAGUACGGCGAGUGAAGCGGGAAGAGCUCAAAUUUGAAAUCUGGCAGUCUUCGAUUGUCCGAGUUGUAAUCUAUAGAGGCGUUUUCCGUGCCGGACCGUGUCCAAGUCUCCUGGAAAGGAGUAUCAAAGAGGGUGAUAAUCCCGUACUUAACACGACCACCGGUGCUCUGUGAUACGUCUUCUACGAGUCGAGUUGUUUGGGAAUGCAGCUCAAAAUGGGUGGUGAAUUCCAUCUAAAGCUAAAUAUUGGCGAGAGACCGAUAGCGAACAAGUACCGUGAGGGAAAGAUGAAAAGCACUUUGGAAAGAGAGUUAAACAGUACGUGAAAUUGUUGAAAGGGAAACGAUUGAAGUCAGUCGUGUUCUUUGGAUUCAGCCAGUUCUGCUGGUCUACUUCCUUGGAACGGGUCAACAUCAGUUUUGUCCGGUGGAUAAAGGUAGUAGGAAUGUGACUUCUCCGGAAGUGUUAUAGCCUAUUAUCACAUACACUGGGUGAGACUGAGGACUGCAGCUCGCCUUUAUGGCCGGUCUUCGGACACGUUCGAGCUUAGGAUGUUGACAUAAUGGCUUUAAACGACCCGUCUUGAAACCACGGACCA